rnacentral:lncRNA from 1 species
ACGAACUCGACUUGCUCCAUGGCGUCCCCCUGCAUCGAGUUGGAAUACCUAGUUGAUUUAAAUUAUACUAAGAUCUUUGAUGUGAACCUAAAUAGUGGAAUUAAUACAUGCAGCACAAAAUAUAGGUCCGCAGUUUCUGAAAUCCAACCAAAAAAAAGAAGUAGGUUGUCUACCAGGCCAUGCCUUGUACCUUCAGUUCGGUUUCAACUCUGGUAUGAUGUCCCAUGAGAGGAACAAAAAUACAACGAAGUCAAAUAUUGUCGUCGGUAGGACCUUACCUGCCAAUUCAAAAAAGAUAAUGCUAACUUAUCAUGGGAUCAUCAUCAAGAACAUGCACACUGCUGUUCAAAUUCUUACUAUGGCAGGCAUUAUGUUAUUGUUCAACGAUGAGUAAAUAUUUUUUGGGAUAAUGAACAAAAAGAGAUGGUUCAAACUCUAGACCCAGAAAUGGAUGGUUGCAAAUCGAUAGGGUGUAUACUGUUCUAGGUACAUAAUAUUGGGAAAAACAC